rnacentral:rRNA from 1 species
UCGAAACAAUAUUUCCAACCCAUCACCAGUAUUGAAUGAUUUCAUAAAUUAUGAAAGCCACCAUGCUAGAACUAGUAACAAGAAUAUGAAUUUCUCCAAAAUGUAAGCAAAAACCAAAAUGGACUAUCCAUUGGUAAUCAACGAUUAUGACUUAACUAUAGUAACUUUUCGAGGAAACUCUAUUUAUCAUCCCGUUAACCUUACACAAGAACACUUCUGGAAAGAUUAAAAGGGGUAGAAGGAACUCGGCAAACUUUAGCCCCGCCUGUUUACCAAAAACAUCGCCUCUUGUUUAAGUAUAAGAGGUCUAGCCUGCCCAGUGAUAAUUUAUUCAACGGCCGCGUAAUUUAAAGCGCGCAAAGGUAGCGUAAUCACUUGUUCUUUAAAUAAGGACUUGAAUCAACGGCACCACGAGGGCUAUACUGUCUCCUUCCCCUAAUCAGUGAAACUAAUCUCCCUGUGAAAAAGCAGGAAUGCUCCUAUAAGACGAGAAGACCCCAUGGAGCUUUAAAUAUGACUACAUCUUUAAAUCUAUUUUACCACCUUCCUAACUUGAAAGCAUUGUAUGUUAAUUUUAGGUUGGGGCGACCACGGAGUAUAACAAAACCUCCAUGACGAAAGGGAAUGCACCCUUACUUAAGAAAAACACUUCUACAAAUUAUCAAUAUAACGUUUAAUGACCCGAUUAUCGAUUAACGAACCAAGUUACCCUGGGGAUAACAGCGCAAUCCAUUUUGAGAGCUCAUAUUGACAAAUGGGUUUACGACCUCGAUGUUGGAUCAGGGUAUCCCAGUGGUGCAGCCGCUACUAAAGG